rnacentral:rRNA from 1 species
GAGUUUGAUCCUGGCUCAGAUUGAACGCUGGCGGCAUGCCUUACACAUGCAAGUCGAACGGCAGCACGGGAGCAAUCCUAGUGGCGAGUGGCGAACGGGUGAGUAAUAUAUCGGAACGUACCUUUCAGUGGGGGAUAACGUAGCGAAAGUUACGCUAAUACCGCAUAUUCUGUGAGCAGGAAAGCAGGGGACCUUCGGGCCUUGCGCUGAUUGAGCGGCCGAUAUCAGAUUAGCUAGUUGGUGAGGUAAAGGCUCACCAAGGCGACGAUCUGUAGCGGGUCUGAGAGGAUGAUCCGCCACACUGGAACUGAGACACGGUCCAGACUCCUACGGGAGGCAGCAGUGGGGAAUUUUGGACAAUGGGGGCAACCCUGAUCCAGCCAUGCCGCGUGAGUGAAGAAGGCCUUCGGGUUGUAAAGCUCUUUCGGCCGGGAAGAAAUCGCAUCAGCUAAUACCUGGUGUGGAUGACGGUACCGGAAUAAGAAGCACCGGCUAACUACGUGCCAGCAGCCGCGGUAAUAC